AAUGUGCUCUUAUUUUCAAUACCUGCUUAAGGUUAGAAGGGAUUUGAGGCUUCUGCAAUCAGCAAAGUUGGAGGAAAUCUUGAAUUCCUGCUUUCUGGUAAUCUAUGGCAAAAGGCCUAAACAAAAACUGUAGCUUUUGGAAAGUCUGAAGCGGAGAAGGUGUGAUGGUGGCAAAUAUAACUUUUUGGAAAGGCUUCUUGGAGUUGUAUGUUUACUAUCAAAGUAAUAUUCAUCUUCAUUCCAAUGGGAGCUCACUGCUCUAAAUUAGGCUUUUGCUGGUAGCCUUCUAACCUCAGAUCCAACGUCCCUUAUUCCUCUGAUCUUGAGAAAUGUGGAGAAAAUCAGAGGAUGAAACUGUCAGCAUUUAAAGAAUACAGUUUAGAUGAGCUGAAUGUAGCACUUUCAAGAUUCUCAGUUGAAAACAUUGUAUCAGAACAUGGAGAUAAAGCUCGCAACGUUGUCUACAAAGGGCAGCUUGAAGAUGACACCUCUUGGAUUGAUGUCAAACAUUUCAAUAAGUUUGCUUGGCCGGAUUCUCGGCAAUUCCUGGUUGUUAUUACUUCUUUGAAGCAAGUCCCCAGCUAUAGUCUUCACAAAUGUGAUAUUAGCUUAUUUAUGUACGUGCUUUGAUAUCAGCCAUAGUACUUAGUUAACCAUGAGUAUGGUGGAUGUUAUUCAGAUUUAAGAUUUGUUGUAUGCAAUUUGUAGGUUGAUAAGUGAGGAAACUUAUUGCAAGCUGAUGUGAUUUGAGACAUUGAUUGUACGAUUGUUAUGCCAUAUG